GAUGCCAUCCCCCUUUGCAUAUCUUCUCCAUAUAUUAAAUCAGAAGUUAAUGCUUGUGCACCUCUCCAUCUGGUGUACAAGUUUGGCUCUUUUGUUACAUUC
rfam:Corchorus olitorius cultivar O-4 contig20806, whole genome shotgun sequence.